AUUGAACGCUGGCGGCAUGCUUUACACAUGCAAGUCGAACGGCAGCACAGCAGAGGUAACUCUGUGGGUGGCGAGUGGCGAACGGGUGAGUAAUACAUCGGAACGUACCCUGUUGUGGGGGAUAACUACGCGAAAGCGUAGCUAAUACCGCAUACGCCCUGAGGGGGGAAAGCGGGGGGACCCUAAAUAGAGCGCACUGGGGAGUGCGUUGUAUUUAGGGCCUCGCGCAAUAGGAGCGGCCGAUGUCGGAUUAGCUAGUUGGUGAGGUAAAGGCUUACCAAGGCGACGAUCCGUAGCUGGUCUGAGAGGAUGAUCAGCCACACUGGGACUGAGACACGGCCCAGACUCCUACGGGAGGCAGCAGUGGGGAAUUUUGGACAAUGGGGGCAACCCUGAUCCAGCCAUGCCGCGUGAGUGAAGAAGGCCUCGGUUGUAAG
rnacentral:rRNA from 1 species